UCUGGAGAGUUCAUUAUUUAAUUGAAGAGUCACCAAACCACAGGUUACCCAACGGGAAAAGUACAAAACACUUUGGGCCAUGAAGAAGAGGAACGUGGCAGCUACCAGGCAAAGCAAAGAAAGGUGUCACCAGUUCCAGUCCCUUCCACUGAGGAUGGCAAAACACUUGGAGACGGGAACAAGAUGGAAGAAGGGAGAUGGAAUGAAGUAUUUCCAUUCCACAGCCACUCUCCCAUCAAAGACCACAUGAGAAAUCUUUUUUUUCCCAAGAGCUGCUCACUAUCACCAUUAAUUGAAGUUUCAUUACGACUACUGUCAACAGUACUUUGCCAUGUGGGAACAGUGGGAUCUGCUGAGAGGAGUCUGGCUUUCUCCUCUUCAUUGCCUCCCAUCAAGUAUUUACACACAUUGAUGAGAGCCCCCUGAGCCUUCUCUUUCCCUGACUGAAGAGUUCCAGCUGUUUCAGCUUCUCCCAUUAUGAAAGACACUGCAGCCCUUUAAUCCUCCUUGUGCCCUGCAUAGGAUUCACUCCACUAAUGUAACAACAUGAGGGGAGGAGUGAGAAAAAGAGGUUUUUGACAGAAGACUGUAGAACAGGAAGAAGGUAGUAAAUUUGCAUUUGUAUGUUUUGUGAAAUGCACCUAAAGCAAUGAGAAGAACUGUGUGUAAAACUCAUCAGGCUUCAGCCAGAAAACAAUCACUAUGCCUAAUGUGCCCAAAUAUCCAUCAUAAAAUUAAUCAUGUUCCUCAGCAAAGAAAGGGGAUGUAUUUUUUGUCAAUUGCUGAUGCUUAGUGAUUAAGCCAAGUGUAGUACCAAGUGUACACAGUUUCUUGUCAGAGUGUAAAACCUUCAGGUUUUUUGACUGUGCCAGUUUAAAAAUUCUCAGUUACCUGCUCCAUGGGGAGAGAAGCAGGCCAUCACACACAGACUAGAACAUUCUGUGUGUAAGUAGGUGACACAAUGAAAUUAUUUUGAGAAGUGUUUCUAUUGCUCUAUUUUAAAAGUUAAAUGGUAUCCUGGCACUUACUAGCUGAAAUCCACAAAGGACUGUUGGAUCAUCUACUCCUCACCUCAUGUGAAUAUCAAGCUUAUGAUCUACAAGUUCAAAGGCUUUUAGACUUAAAUCUGAGCUGGAUUACUACCUGCUUGCAGCAAAAUAUCUUAAUAAACAGUAUGGCUCUCAAUUUUGUUUUAAUUCUACCCAUAUUCUGUGAGGAUAAGAAUCAAGAAAAAGAGCACAGGGACAUCUUAAAUUCCCUGGCUCCUUGUCAGAAGAUAGCAGAGCUUUCCUUUUGUAUUUCCUGCUUCUAAAGGGUCAUUUUUUUCAGGACUGUCAUGAAGUGUUUGUGAAGCUCCUGCACUAGUCUGCCCUGUAAUGGGAGUUCAUUCAAAGGCCAAGUUGUUUCAGGACAAGCAUCAGUAGCAAUUACCACUUCCAGCUUUUCUCCAGAAGUGUGAGUUUUUGUCAAGGGCUCCAGAGUCAGACUGCUAGCCUAAGGUUCAGACACAAAGAGAGAUCACUUACUCUCAGUUUCCUGUAUGAUAUUCUUCAUGUUGAAGUUUUAGGCAGAAUUUCAACUUUGAUUUUGACAAACAAGUUAUGGCACUAUUUUAAAAAAAUUGUGCCUCCUGCAAUGAUCAAGUUUUCAAACUAUACUCAUGAAAAGAAUAAGAGGAAAUUAUAUUUAAUAUGUGCUAGGGCCUGUAUCUCUCCAGAUAUCAGCCACUGACUGGGGUGCUGUAAUCCCAUGAUGCUGCAAAAAUCAACUGUCAUAUGGUUGCCUAUGUUGGAGUUCCUCUCCAAAGAAAAGGAAUUUCCUUAUGUUGAUUCCUCAGUAACUCAGCAUAUGAAUAGCCUGUAAUGAUCCAGCUGCUGAUUCAGCUCUCUGCUCUUUUCACAGAACUCUAAGAAGCUUUCAAAAGCUAUUUAUUCUUUAUGAAAUUCACAGUAAAAAGAAUUGAUGGCUAUGGCUAUGUGAUGGUGUAUUAUUGUUGACAGUGCAUAGGCAGUAUAGGAAAAAUGGGAAAUGGCAAAGGAUAAAGGAUUAGGUUUUGUGUAGUUUUCCAAUUGAGCUCUGAGUAAAUUUUUGCACGUGUGUUUUUUUCUUUUUUGCUUAUUUGCCCUGUCAGUCAAAUAAAUGGAGAUCUUGAUGUCAUACAAAAUCUCUAGAGCCUGUAUACUUUUGUGAUAAAAAGCAUUAUGUCUUUGGGUUUGCUCU